GGUGUCUUAACCGAGCGGUUAGGUAACGGUCUGCAAAACCGUGUAGAGCGUCGUCGCCGGUUUAGGCAACGGUCUGAAAACCCCGCUAGAGCGGUUCGACUCCGCUAGACACCU
rnacentral:tRNA from 1 species